rnacentral:rRNA from 1 species
UACGUAGGGAGCAAGCGUUGUCCGGAAUCAUUGGGCGUAAAGCGCGCGUAGGCGGCCCGAUAAGUCCGCUGUAAAAGUCAACGGCUCAACUGUUGAAAGCCGGUGGAUACCGUCGGGCUAGAGUACGGAAGAGGCAAGUGGAAUUCCUGGUGUAGCGGUGGAAUGCGCAGAUAUCUGGAGGAACACCGGUGGCGAAGGCGGCAUCCUGGACCGGUAUUGACGCUGAUGCGCGAAAGCCAGGGGAGCAAACGGG